UACGGAGGGGGCAAGCGUUGUUCGGAGUGACUGGGCGUAAAGCGCACGUAGGCGGUGAUGUAAGUCUUGGGUCAAAGGCAACAGCUUAACUGUUGUAAGGCCUGAGAAACUAUAUCGCUAGAGUAUCGGAGAGGAAUGCGGAAUAUCUGGUGUAGCGGUGGAAUGCGUAGAUAUCAGAUGGAACACCUGUUGCGAAGGCGGCAUUCUGGUCGGUAACUGACGCUGAGGUGCGAAAGCGUGGGGAGCAAAC
rnacentral:rRNA from 1 species